CUCCCCCUACGGGGCGCAGCAGUGGGGAAUAUUGCACAAUGGGGGAAACCCUGAUGCAGCGACGCCGCGUGAGUGAAGAAGUAUUUCGGUAUGUAAAGCUCUUUCAGCAGGAACGAGACAAGACGGUACCUGACUAAGAAGCCCCGGCUAACUACGUGCCAGCAGCCGCGGUAAUACGUAGGGGGCAAGCGUUAUCCGGAUUUACUGGGUGUAAAGGGAGCGCAGGCGGCCUGCCAAGUCUGGUGUGAAAACCCGGGGCCCAACCCCGGGCCUGCAUUGGAAACUG
rnacentral:rRNA from 1 species